rnacentral:rRNA from 1 species
GGAUUAGAUACCCUGGUAGUCCACGCCGUAAACGAUGUCAACUAGUUGUUCGUGUCAUUAAGACGUGAGUAACGCAGCUAACGCACUAAGUUGACCGCCUGGGGAGUACGGCCGCAAGGUUAAAACUCAAAUGAAUUGACGGGGGCCCGCACAAGCGGUGGAGCAUGUGGUUUAAUUCGAUGCAACGCGAAGAACCUUACCAUCCCUUGACAUCCAGUGAAUUUUUCAGAGAUGAAUUAGUGCCUUCGGGAACACUGAGACAGGUGCUGCAUGGCUGUCGUCAGCUCGUGCCG